AUGGCCUUAUGGAAACAACGGGGGAAAGUGCGUGCUGCUAUUCACGGUGAGGAGAACACUCAGUAUUUCCACGCCGCCGCCUCCCAGAGACUUCGAAAGAACACUAUAACUUCCCUCCUCCAAAAUGGGACGGAGUUCCACUCCCACGACCAAAAAGCAGUCAUUCUUCAGCACCACUUCACAUCCAUCAUCGGCUGCGCACCGCCUACAUCCUGGCCUUUCCAGCCACAACAAUUCUACCCCCAACCGCUACCCCAACUCCUCGAUCUAGAAUCUACCUUUACUCAUGAUGAAAUAAACGAAGCUUUCAUGCAAAUGAAUCCCCUAGCUAGCCCCGGACCAGAUGGUUUUGGCCCCCUCUUCUACCGAAAAUACUGGAAUCUCGUAAAAAACCACAUCUUCUCAUUCAUGACAGAUUUCCAAAACCUCUCUGCACAAACUGAAUGCUUAAACCGCGCCCACCUAAUUCUGCUGCCAAAAAAAGAAGAAGCAAAUACACCAGGCUCCUACCGCCCGAUCUCUCUCCAAAAUUGUCCCGUCAAAGCCGCCACCAAGAUCCUCACCAACAGAUUAAAACCUCUGAUCCCACUGCUUGUUCACGGAAACUAG
rnacentral:rRNA from 1 species